AGUGAACGCUGGCGGUAGGCCUAACACAUGCAAGUCGAACGGCAGCACAGUAAGAGCUUGCUCUUACGGGUGGCGAGUGGCGGACGGGUGAGGAAUACAUCGGAAUCUACUUUUUCGUGGGGGAUAACGUAGGGAAACUUACGCUAAUACCGCAUACGACCUACGGGUGAAAGCAGGGGAUCUUCGGACCUUGCGCGAUUGAAUGAGCCGAUGUCGGAUUAGCUAGUUGGCGGGGUAAAGGCCCACCAAGGCGACGAUCCGUAGCUGGUCUGAGAGGAUGAUCAGCCACACUGGAACUGAGACACGGUCCAGACUCCUACGGGAGGCAGCAGUGGGGAAUAUUGGACAAGGGGCGCAAGCCUGAUCCAGCCAUACCGCGUGGGUGAAGAAGGCCUUCGGGUGGUAAAGCCCUUUUGUUGGGAAAGAAAAGCAGCAGGUUAAUACCCCGCUGUUCUGACGGUACCCAAAGAAUAAGCACCGGCUAACUUCGUG
rnacentral:rRNA from 1 species